UACAGAGGGUGCAAGCGUUAAUCGGAAUUACUGGGCGUAAAGCGUGCGUAGACGGUUAUGUAAGUCAGGUGUGAAAGCCCCGGGCUCAACCUGGGAAUUGCAUUUGGGACUGCAAGGCUUGAGUGCGGCAGAGGAGACUGGAAUUCCUGGUGUAGCAGUGAAAUGCGUAGAUAUCAGGAGGAAUACCGAUGGCGAAGGCAGGUCUCUGGGCUGACACUGACGCUCAUGCACGAAAGCGUGGGGAGCAAACAGG
rnacentral:rRNA from 1 species